GCGCUGUCCUCGGUGCUGAGCGCAAACCCUCGCGGUCCCCCACACCCCCCGGUCCUCCCGUUGCCAUAGCGACGGGCCGCUCCGCCAAGAUGGCGCCGCCGUUGCCGCCGCCGCCGCGGCCGCACCAGCCCUCGCUCCGCCUGAGCGCAGAGCGGUACCUGCGGGCACACCCGGCGGUGGCGCUGCUGCUGAGGGGCUUCCUCAGGGAGCUGCUGCUCCAGCGGCCGGAUGAUGUCUGGGGUUU